UGAAUCCAUGAACAGAGAGAUUAGCACUUUCCUUAAUAAGGACAGAAAAGGUCCUAUAUACUGUUAAAGCAUUGUCAUCCAUUUUGUGACACUAAGGAUGUGCCUAU
ensembl:snRNA